CCCCUAGUAACUGCGAGUGAAGCGGGAAAAGCUCAAAUUUAAAAUCUGGUGGUCUUUGGCCAUCCGAGUUGUAAUUUAGAGAAGCGUCUUCCGCGCUGGACCGUGCACAAGUCUCCUGGAACGGAGCGUCAUAGAGGGUGAGAAUCCCGUCUUUGGCACGGACACGCCAGGGCUUUUGUGAUGCGCUCUCGAAGAGUCGAGUUGUUUGGGAAUGCAGCUCAAAAUGGGUGGUGAACUCCAUCUAAAGCUAAAUAUUGGCGAGAGACCGAUAGCGAACAAGUACCGUGAGGGAAAGAUGAAAAGCACUUUGGAAAGAGAGUGAAACAGUACGUGAAAUUGUUGAAAGGGAAACGCUUGAAGUCAGUCGCGUCGACCGAGACUCAGCCUCGCCUCGGCUUGGUGUAAUUCUCGGCUGMCGGGUCASCAUCAAUUUUGCCUCUUGGAUAAUGGCGAGGGAAAUGUGMCACCUUUMCGGUGUGUUAUAGUCUCUCGUCSCAUSCAAGGGUUGGGAUUGAGGAACUCAGCACGCGCCUUCGGGUGUCGGGGUUAUGCCCACGAUACGUGCUUARGAUGKUGGCGUAAUGGCUUUAAACGACCCGUCUUGAAACACGGACCAAGGARUCUAACAUGSCUGCGAGUGUUCGGGUGGAAAACCCGUGCGCGCAAUGAAAGUGAAAGUUGGGACCUCYGUCGUGGAGGGCACCGACGCCCGGACCAGACCUUUUGUGACGGCUCUGCGGUAAAGCAUGUAUGUUAGGACCCGAAAGAUGGUGAACUAUGCCUGAAUAGGGUGAAGCCAGAGGAAACUCUGGUGGAGGCUCGUAGCGAUUCUGACGUGCAAAUCGAUCGUCAAAUUUGGGUAUAGGGGCGAAAGACUAAUCGA
rnacentral:rRNA from 1 species